UACGUAGGGACCAAGCGUUGUUCGGAUUUACUGGGCGUAAAGGGCGCGUAGGCGGCGUGGUAAGUCACUUGUGAAAUCUCUGAGCUUAACUCAGAACGGCCAAGUGAUACUGCUGUGCUAGAGUGCAGAAGGGGCAAUCGGAAUUCUUGGUGUAGCGGUGAAAUGCGUGGAUAUCAAGAGGAACACCUGAGGUGAAGACGGGUUGCUGGGCUGACACUGACGCUGAGGCGCGAAAGCCAGGGGAGCAAACGGG
rnacentral:rRNA from 1 species